rnacentral:rRNA from 1 species
UACGUAGGGGGCAAGCGUUAUCCGGAUUUACUGGGUGUAAAGGGAGCGUAGACAGCAUGGCAAGUCAGAUGUGAAAGCCCGGGGCUCAACCCCGGGACUGCAUUUGAAACUGUCAGGCUGGAGUGCAGGAGAGGUAAGCGGAAUUCCUAGUGUAGCGGUGAAAUGCGUAGAUAUUAGGAGGAACACCAGUGGCGAAGGCGGCUUACUGGACUGUAACUGACGUUGAGGCUCGAAAGCGUGGGGAGCAAACAGG